rnacentral:siRNA from 1 species
GCGAACGGUUAUAAUCGUACAU